rnacentral:rRNA from 1 species
UGGGGAAUCUUGCGCAAUGGGGGAAACCCUGACGCAGCGACGCCGCGUGCGGGAUGAAGGCCUUCGGGUUGUAAACCGCUUUCAGCAGGGACGAGGCCUUAUGGUGACGGUACCUGCAGAAGAAGCUCCGGCUAAUUACGUGCCAGCAGCCGCGGUAAUACGUAAGGUCCGAGCGUUGUCCGGAAUCAUUGGGCGUAAAGGGUACGUAGGCGGAUAAGCAAGUUAGAAGUGAAAUCCUAUAGCUCAACUAUAGUAAGCUUUUAAAACUGCUCAUCUUGAGGUAUGGAAGGGAAAGUGGAAUUCCUAGUGUAGCGGUGAAAUGCGCAGAUAUUAGGAGGAAUACCGGUGGCGAAGGCGACUUUCUGGCCAUAUACUGACGCUGAGGUACGAAAGCGUGGGUAGCAAACAGG